UACGAAGGGGGCUAGCGUUGUUCGGAAUUACUGGGCGUAAAGCGCACGUAGGCGGAUUUGCCAGUCAGGGGUGAAAUCCCGGGGCUCAACCUCGGAACUGCCUCUGAUACAGCAAGUCUUGAGUCCGGAAGAGGUGGGUGGAAUUCCUAGUGUAGAGGUGAAAUUCGUAGAUAUUAGGAAGAACACCAGUGGCGAAGGCGGCCCACUGGUCCGGUACUGACGGCUGAGGCGCGACAGCGUGGGGAGCAAACAGGAU
rnacentral:rRNA from 1 species